rnacentral:rRNA from 1 species
GACGAACGCUGGCGGCGUGCCUAACACAUGCAAGUCGCACGAGUCCACUCCUUCGGGAGUGAGGCGAGUGGCGGACGGGUGAGUAACACGUGAGCAAUCUGUCCCGCUGCGGGGGAUAACCCGGGGAAACUCGGGCUAAUACCGCAUGGUCGGCUUCCAGGAUCUGGGAGCCGGGAAAGGUGGCCUCUUUACAAUGCUACCGUGACGGGAGGAGCUCGCGGGCUAUCAGCUAGUUGGUGCGGUCACGGCGCACCAAGGCAACGACGGCUACGGGGUCUGAGAGGACGACCCCGCACAUUGGAACUGAGACACGGUCCAGACUCCUACGGAGGCAGCAGUGGGGAAGUUUUGGGUCAAUGGCCGAAGGACUGACCCAGCGACGCCGCGUGCGGGA